rnacentral:rRNA from 1 species
CCAAGGCGCUUGAGAGAACCACAUCAAAGGAACUCGGCAAGAUGCUCCCGUAAGUUCGCGAGAAGGGAGCCCCGUCUGUAGGCAACUAUGGGCGGGGGGCACAAACCAGGGGGUGGCGACUGUUUACUUAAAACACAGGGCUGUGCGAAGCCGUAAGGCGACGUAUACAGUCUGACGCCUGCCCGGUGCUGGAAGGUUAAAAGGAGGGGUGCAAGCUCUGAAUUGAAGCCCCAGUAAACGGCGGCCGUAACGAUAACGGUCCUAAGGUAGCGAAAUUCCUUGUCGGGUAAGUUCCGACCUGCACGAAUGGCGUAACGAUCUCCCUGCUGUCUCCGAUGUGGACUCAGCGAAAUUGAACUGUGUGUCAAGAUGCACACUUCCCGCGGUUAGACGGAAAGACCCCAUGAACCUUUACUCCAGCUUUGCACUGGCAUCAGGAUUGUGAUGUGCAGGAUAGGUGGUAGGCAUCGAAGCAGAGACGCCAGUUUCUGUGGAGCCUCCCUUGAGAUACCACCCUUCGCACUCUUGAUGUCUAACCGCGGCCCGUUAUCCGGGUCCGGGACCAUGCAUGGUGGGGAGUUUGACUGGGGCGGUCGCCUCCCAAACAGUAACGGAGGCGCGCGAAGGUUGGCUCAGAGCGGUCGGAAAUCGCUCGUUGAGUGCAAUGGCAGAAGCCAGCCUGACUGCAAGACUGACAAGUCGAGCAGAGACGAAAGUCGGCCAUAGUGAUCCGGUGGUCCCAAGUGGGAGGGCCAUCGCUCAACGGAUAAAAGGUACUCUGGGGAUAACAGGCUGAUGAUGCCCAAGAGUCCAUAUCGACGGCAUCGUUUGGCACCUCGAUGUCGGCUCAUCUCAUCCUGGGGCUGGAGCAGGUCCCAAGGGUAUGGCUGUUCGCCAUUUAAAGAGGUACGUGAGCUGGGUUUAGAACGUCGUGAGACAGUUCGGUCCCUAUCUGCCGUGGGUGUAGGAGACUUGAGAAGAGUUGCCCCUAGUACGAGAGGACCGGGGUGAACGUUCCACUGGUGGACCAGUUGUCGUGCCAACGGCAGUGCUGGGUAGCUAUGAACGGACAGGAUAACCGCUGAAGGCAUCUAAGCGGGAAGCCCCCUUCAAAACAAGGUCUCCCUUGAGAGCCGUGGAAGACCACCACGUCGAUAGGCCAGAGGUGUAAGUGCAGCAAUGCAUUCAGCUGACUGGUACUAAUUGCUC